AUACGGAGGAUGCGAGCGUUAUCCGGAUUUAUUGGGUUUAAAGGGAGCGUAGGUGGGAUAUUAAGUCAGCUGUGAAAGUUUGGGGCUCAACCUUAAAAUUGCAGUUGAUACUGGUUUCCUUGAGUACGGUACAGGUGGGCGGAAUUCGUGGUGUAGUGGUGAAAUGCUUAGAUAUCACGAAGAACUCCGAUCGCGAAGGCAGCUCACCGGGCCGGAACUGACACUGAUGCUCGAAAGUGCGGGUAUCAAACAGGAUUAGAUACCCUGGUAGUCCGCACAGUAAACGAUGAAUACUCGCUGUUUGCGAUACACUGUAAGCGGCCAAGCGAAAGCGUUAAGUAUUCCACCUGGGGAGUACGCCGGCAACGGUGAAACUCAAAGGAAUUGACGGGG
rnacentral:rRNA from 1 species